rnacentral:rRNA from 1 species
CCUACGUGGUGCAACAGUGGGGAAUAUUGCGCAAUGGGCGAAAGCCUGACGCAGCGACGCCGCGUGAGGGAUGAAGGUCUUCGGAUCGUAAACCUCUGUCAGCAGGGAAGAACGGUCACUGUGCUAAUCAGCAGUGAAUUGACGGUACCUGCAAAGGAAGCACCGGCUAACUCCGUGCCAGCAGCCGCGGUAAUACGGAGGGUGCGAGCGUUAAUCGGAAUUACUGGGCGUAAAGCGCUCGUAGGCGGUAUGUCAAGUCAAGGGUGAAAUCCCCGCGCUCAACGUGGGAACUGCCUUUGAAACGGGCAAACUGGAGUGUGUGAGAGGAUAGUGGAAUUCCAGGUGUAGGAGUGAAAUCCGUAGAUAUCUGGAGGAACAUCAGUGGCGAAGGCGACUAUCUGGCACAUAACUGACGCUGAGGAGCGAAAGCGUGGGUAGCAAACAGGAUUAGAUACCCGGGUAGUC